rnacentral:rRNA from 1 species
CUCCUCGGGGCAGCAGUGGGGAAUAUUGCACAAUGGGGGAAACCCUGAUGCAGCGACGCCGCGUGAGUGAAGAAGUAUUUCGGUACGUAAAGCUCUAUCAGCAGGGAAGAAAAUGACGGUACCUGACUAAGAAGCCCCGGCUAACUACGUGCCAGCAGCCGCGGUAAUACGUAGGGGGCAAGCGUUAUCCGGAUUUACUGGGUGUCAAGGGAGCGUAGACGGCAGCGCAAGUCUGGAGUGAAAUCCCAUGGCUUAACCAUGGAACUGCUUUGGAAACUGUGCAGCUGGAGUGCAGGAGAGGAAAG